rnacentral:tRNA from 2 species
CUCGGCUGGGCCGGCUGGAACCACCGGGACCAGGCCGACGCCCUGGUCGGUCUCAUCCGCAGCCGGAUCGAGGUCGGCGGCUGGGAC